GAUGAACGCUGGCGGCGUGCUUAACACAUGCAAGUCGAACGAAGAAGGUUAGAAUGAGAGCUUCGGCAGGAUUUCUUUCCAUCUUAGUGGCGGACGGGUGAGUAACGUGUGGGCAACCUGCCCUGUACUGUGGAAUAAUCAUUGGAAACGAUGACUAAUACCGCAUGUGGUCCUCGGAAGGCAUCUUCUGAGGAAGAAAGGAUUUAUUCGGUACAGGAUGGGCCCGCAUCUGAUUAGCUAGUUGGUGAGAUAACAGCCCACCAAGGCGACGAUCAGUAGCCGACCUGAGAGGGUGAUCGGCCACAUUGGGACUGAGACACGGCCCAAACUCCUACGGGAGGCAGCAGUGGGGAAUAUUGCACAAUGGGCGAAAGCCUGAUGCAGCAACGCCGCGUGAAGGAUGAAGGGUUUCGGCUCGUAAACUUCUAUCAAUAGGGAAGAAACAAAUGACGGUACCUAAAUAAGAAGCCCCGGCUAACUACGUGCCAGCAGCCGCGGUAAUACGUAGGGGGCAAGCGUUAUCCGGAAUUACUGGGUGUAAAGGGAGCGUAGGCGGCAUGGUAAGCCAGAUGUGAAAGCCUUGGGCUUAACCCGAGGAUUGCAUUUGGAACUAUCAAGCUAGAGUACAGGAGAGGAAAGCGGAAUUCCUAGUGUAGCGGUGAAAUGCGUAGAUAUUAGGAAGAACACCAGUGGCGAAGGCGGCUUUCUGGACUGAAACUGACGCUGAGGCUCGAAAGCGUGGGGAGCAAACAGGAUUAGAUACCCUGGUAGUCCACGCCGUAAAACGAUGAGUGCUAGGGUUCGGGGGAGGAAUCUUCGGUGCCGCAGCUAACGCAAUAAGCACUCCACCUGGGGAGUACGACCGCAAGGGUGAAACUCAAAGGAAUUGACGGGGGCCCGCACAAGCGGUGGAGCAUGUGGUUUAAUUCGAAGCAACGCGAAGAACCUUACCAAGGCUUGACAUCCCGAUGACCGUCCUAGAGAUAGGACUUCUCUUCGGAGCAUCGGUGACAGGUGGUGCAUGGUUGUCGUCAGCUCGUGUCGUGAGAUGUUGGGUUAAGUCCCGCAACGAGCGCAACCCUUAUCUUCAGUAGCCAUCAUUCAGUUGGGCACUCUGGAGAGACUGCCGUGGAUAACACGGAGGAAGGUGGGGAUGACGUCAAAUCAUCAUGCCCCUUAUGUCUUGGGCUACACACGUGCUACAAUGGCUGGUAACAAAGUGACGCAAGACGGCGACGUUAAGCAAAUCACAAAAACCCAGUCCCAGUUCGGAUUGUAGUCUGCAACUCGACUACAUGAAGCUGGAAUCGCUAGUAAUCGCGAAUCAGCAUGUCGCGGUGAAUACGUUCCCGGGCCUUGCACA
rnacentral:rRNA from 1 species